rnacentral:rRNA from 1 species
AUUGAACGCUGGCGGCAGGCCUAACACAUGCAAGUCGAGCGAGUGGCGGACGGGUGAGUAAUGUCUGGGAAACUGCCUGAUGGAGGGGGAUAACUACUGGAAACGGUAGCUAAUACCGCAUACCAUCGGAUGUGCCCAGAUGGGAUUAGCUAGUAGGUGGGGUAAAGGCUCACAUAGGCGACGAUCCCUAGCUGGUCUGAGAGGAUGACCAACCACACGGGAACUGAAACACGGUCCAGACGCCCAAGAGAGGCAGAAGUAGUGAAUAUUGCACAAAGGGCGCAGGCCUGAUGAAGCCGGGCAGCGUGUAGGAAGAAAGCCAUCGGGUUGUAAGGUACUUUCAGCGAGGGGGCGUUAACCGCAGGAGAAGCACCGGCUAACUCCGUGCCAGCAGCCGCGGUAAUUC